rnacentral:rRNA from 1 species
CCAGAGAACUUUCCAGAGAUGGAUUGGUGCCCUUUCGGGAACUCUGAGACAGGUGCUGCAUGGCUGUCGUCAGCUCGUGUUGUGAAAUGUUGGGUUAAGUCCCGCAACGAGCGCAACCCUUAUCCUUUGUUGCCAGCGGUUAGGCCGGGAACUCAAAGGAGACUGCCAGUGAUAAACUGGAGGAAGGUGGGGAUGACGUCAAGUCAUCAUGGCCCUUACGAGUAGGGCUACACACGUGCUACAAUGGCGCAUACAAAGAGAAGCGACCUCGCGAGAGCAGGCGGACCUCAUAAAGUGCGUCGUAGUCCGGAUUGGAGUCUGCAACUCGACUCCAUGAAGUCGGAAUCGCUAGUAAUCGUGGAUCAGAAUGCCACGGUGAAUACGUUCCCGGGCCUUGUACACACCGCCCGUCACACCAUGGGAGUGGGUUGCAAAAGAAGUAGGUAGCUUAACCUUCGGGAGGGCGCUUACCACUUUGUGAUUCAUGACUGGGGUGAAGUCGUAACAAGGUAGGCGUAGUGCU